CGCUGUGAGAGAGCAGGGGAGAGAUAACCGGAGAGCUGACAAGUUUCCAAGUAAAAAGGCACACACUGCAGAUACGGUCCCUUCUUCCUGGACGUCAGCUCCAUGACUUCCCGAUAUCUCUUCGGUGGCAUCGAUUUUCUCCUCGUUCUAUCCAUCUUGACCUCAGUGCAGAAAUUUUCUCCUUGAAGUCUGGAACAGGAAGAGGCCGGGAUCACUGCUGCAAGACCCUAUAAAGGCUAUGAGAAUACCUGAGUUCCAAGAUGGCGGCACCCAGUACAAAG